rnacentral:hammerhead_ribozyme from 1 species
GUACUGAUGAAGAGUCCUAAAAUGGGACGAAACAACUGUCCAGUAC